AGUUUGAUCAUGGCUCAGAUUGAACGCUGGCGGCAGGCCUAACACAUGCAAGUCGAGCGGUAACAGAAAGUAGCUUGCUACUUUGCUGACGAGCGGCGGACGGGUGAGUAAUGCUUGGGAACAUGCCUUGAGGUGGGGGACAACAGUUGGAAACGACUGCUAAUACCGCAUAAUGUCUACGGACCAAAGGGGGCUUCGGCUCUCGCCUUUAGAUUGGCCCAAGUGGGAUUAGCUAGUUGGUGAGGUAAUGGCUCACCAAGGCAACGAUCCCUAGCUGGUUUGAGAGGAUGAUCAGCCACACUGGGACUGAGACACGGCCCAGACUCCUACGGGAGGCAGCAGUGGGGAAUAUUGCACAAUGGGCGCAAGCCUGAUGCAGCCAUGCCGCGUGUGUGAAGAAGGCCUUCGGGUUGUAAAGCACUUUCAGUCAGGAGGAAAGGUUAGUAGUUAAUACCUGCUAGCUGUGACGUUACUGACAGAAGAAGCACCGGCUAACUCCGUGCC
rnacentral:rRNA from 1 species